UGUCCUCCCAUCUCUCAUAUCAGACGUGUGUUAUAAAUGUCCUCCCAUCUCUCAUAUCAGACGUGUUAUAAAUGUCCUACCAUCUCUCAUAUCAGACAAGUGUUAUAAAUAUCCUCUCAUCUCUCAUAUCAGACGUGUUAUAAAUGUCCUCCCAUCUCUCAUAUCAGACGUGAUAUAAAUGUCCUCCCAUCUCUCAUAUCAGACGUGUUAUAAAUGUCCUCCCAUCUCUCAUAUCAGACGUGAUAUAAAUGUCCUCCCAUCUCUCAUAUCAGACGUGAUAUAAAUGUCCUCCCAUCUCUCAUAUCAGACGUGUUAUAAAUGUCCUCCCAUCUCUCAUAUCAGACGUGUUAUAAAUGUCCUCUCAUCUCUCAUAUCAGACGUGUGAUAUAAAUGUCCUCCCAUCUCUCAUAUCAGACGUGUUAUAAAUGUCCUCUCAUCUCUCAUAUCAGACGUGUGAUAUAAAUGUCCUCCCAUCUCUCAUAUCAGACGUGUUAUAAAUGUCCUCCCAUCUCUCAUAUCAGACGUGUGAUAUAAAUGUCCUCCCAUCUCUCAUAUCAGACAUGUUAUAAAUGUCCUCCAAUCUCUCAUAUCAGACGUGUGAUAUAAAUGUCCUCCCAUCUCUCAUAUCAGACGUGUUAUAAAUGUCCUCCCAUCUCUCAUAUCAGACGUGAUAUAAAUGUCCUCCCAUCUCUCAUAUCAGACGUGAUAUAAAUGUCCUCCCAUCU
rnacentral:lncRNA from 1 species